GGCUUUGUGGUGUAAUGGCCAGCACGCUCGCCGAGUAUUCGAGAGGUCCCUGGUUCGAAUCCCGGUGAGGGCA
rnacentral:tRNA from 1 species